AUUGAACGCUGGCGGCAGGCCUAACACAUGCAAGUCGAGCGGCAGCGGGAAAGUAGCUUGCCACUUUUGCCGGCGAGCGGCGGACGGGUGAGUAAUGCCUGGGGAUCUGCCCAGUCGAGGGGGAUAACUACUGGAAACGGUAGCUAAUACCGCAUACGCCCUACGGGGGAAAGCAGGGGACCUUCGGGCCUUGCGCGAUUGGAUGAACCCAGGUGGGAUUAGCUAGUUGGUGAGGUAAUGGCUCACCAAGGCGACGAUCCCUAGCUGGUCUGAGAGGAUGAUCAGACACACUGGAACUGAGACACGGUCCAGACUCCUACGGGAGGCAGCAGUGGGGAAUAUUGCACAAUGGGGGAAACCCUGAUGCAGCCAUGCCGCGUGUGUGAAGAAGGCCUUCGGGUUGUAAAGCACUUUCAGCGAGGAGGAAGGGUUGGUAGCUAAUAACUGCCAGCUGUGACGUUACUCGCAGAAGAAGCACCGGCUAACUCCGUGCCAGCCGCCGCCGUAACAC
rnacentral:rRNA from 1 species